rnacentral:rRNA from 1 species
AUGAACGCUGGCGGCGUGCCUAAUACCUGCCAGUCGAGCGAACAGAUGAGGAGCUUGCUCCUCUGACGUUCGCGGCGGACGGGUGAGUAACACGUGGAUAACCUACCUAUAAGACUGGGAUAACUUCGGGAAACCGGAGCUAAUACCGGAUAAUAUAUUGAACCGCAUGGUUCAAUAGUGAAAGACGGUUUUGCUGUCACUUAUAGAUGGAUCCGCGCCGCAUUAGCUAGUUGGUAAGGUAACGGCUUACCAAGGCAACGAUGCGUAGCCGACCUGAGAGGGUGAUCGGCCACACUGGAACUGAGACACGGUCCAGACUCCUACGGGAGGCAGCAGUGGGGAAUCUUCCGCAAUGGGCGAAAGCCUGACGGAGCAACGCCGCGUGAGUGAUGAAGGUCUUCGGAUCGUAAAACUCUGUUAUUAGGGAAGAACAAAUGUGUAAGUAACUAUGCACGUCUUGACGGUACCUAAUCAGAAAGCCACGGCUAACUACGUG